GACGCUGGCGGCGUGCUUAAUACAUGCAAGUCAACUUGACUUUAGAUAGCAAUAUCGAAAGUAGGGUGGCGCACGGGUGCGUAACGCGUAGGUAAUCUGCCCUGAGGUCUGACAUAACCCGUCGAAAGGCGGGCUAACAUCAGAUGAUAUAUAAUCACGACAUCGUGGAAAUAUCAAAUCUUCGGAGCCUUGGGAUGAGCCUGCGUCUGAUUAGGUAGUUGGCGGAGUAAUAGCCCACCAAGCCUACGAUCAGUAGCUGGUCUGAGAGGAUGAUCAGCCACACUGGAACUGAGACACGGUCCAGACUCCUACGGGAGGCAGCAGUAAGGAAUAUUGCUCAAUGGGGGAAACCCUGAAGCAGCAACGCCGCGUGAAGGAUGAAAUACUUUUGUAUGUAAACUUCUGUAAGAUGAGAAAAAUAUUCUCCUCGGGAGAAUUGAUUGUACCAUCAGAGUAAGCCCCGGCUAACUACGUG
rnacentral:rRNA from 1 species